UGCAGCCCGCCGUAAAACAUAUCCAUGAGCAUGGUCUUCCCUGUGCCUGAUUGGAGGAAACACAAAGACUUUUGGCAUUGUUUUUUUUUUUCCCCCAGACAAUAAGCUGCAGAUUGUACAGAAGACACCUCAUCAGACUAGCCCACUGCAGGGGAGGAAGACAAAGGGGAUCUAAUCAACAAGACAAGCCGGGGUUCCCACGAAAGAAAAGCAUCAUCAGAGGAACAAUGGGGGGAUUUGUCAGACAAAACGGAGAGGACUGAAUGAGGCUCCGUACGAGAUGGACUGGACUUGUCUGUGUGCAGCCUGUUUAGCGCUGCUAAUUGUGAUACGGUACUGUUGCAUUGAGGUGCCGCUGGAAGUCAUUGUGCUGCCUGCCUCCUAUCAUCAAAAGGUCCCUGCUUCAAAAAAAAAAAAAAAAAAAAAAGGCGCUUCUAUGAGACCAAGCCGAGCAUACUGAGUAAAGCCAAAUAUGUUGGAAGAAAGGCCACGGUGAUUUAAAUGCAAGUGUCAUCAGU